rnacentral:tRNA from 10 species
GGAGUGGUAGUUCAGUUGGUUAGAAUACCGGCCUGUCACGCCGGGGGUCGCGGGUUCGAAUCCCGUCCACUCCGCCA